UAUUGGUCAAUGGUCGGGAGACUGAACCAGCCAAGUCGCGUGAGGGAUUAAGGCCCUGCGGGUCGUAAACCUCUUUUGCCGGGGAGCAGAGGUCCGGACGUGUCCGGGCCGGGAGAGUACCCGGAGAAAAAGCAUCGGCUAACUCCGUGCCAGCAGCCGCGGUAAUACGGAGGAUGCGAGCGUUAUCCGGAUUUAUUGGGUUUAAAGGGUGCGUAGGCGGAAUGCCAAGUCAGCGGUAAAAUCGCGGGGCUCAACCUCGCUCCGCCGUUGAAACUGGCGUUCUUGAGUGGGCGAGAAGUAUGCGGAAUGCGUGGUGUAGCGGUGAAAUGCAUAGAUAUCACGCAGAACUCCGAUUGCGAAGGCAGCAUACCGGCGCCCAACUGACGCUGAAGCACGAAAGCGUGGGUAUCG
rnacentral:rRNA from 1 species